rnacentral:rRNA from 1 species
GUCUGGUAAUGAUGGCAGAGAGGUCACACCCGUUCCCAUACCGAACACGGAAGUUAAGCUCUCUAGCGCCGAUGGUAGUUGGGACCUUGUCCCUGUGAGAGUAGGACGUUGCCAGGCAA